AUCAAACUGAAGCUCCUAAUCAGUCCUAAAUCAAGUUUCAAGCACGAAUUAGUGAUCACCUCACUGAAGGGAUCACAAGUAGGCGCUUAACAAGCUAGGUGAAGCUUGGGGAGAAAGCGGGUUGAUCGAAGCAAGUGAGAAAAGAAAAAGCGUAAUUCGGAUGCAAGGACCGAUUAGCAAAAUCGGAUGAUUUCGUCACUAUUGAUUGUGUGAUAAUGAAAACAAGGUAUGAAUCGGGUCUACUUGUUGAUCCGGGACAGGUAUGAUUUUAGCACCGGAGGAUGAUCAAGCACAACGAAGAACCGAACACGAUCAAGAAAUAAGCUUCCGCACUAUGUAUCGUUGUUUUGUUAAAUGACGAACUCAAACAUGUUAUCUUGUAUAGUUUUAAUUCUGUAAAUAAAGUUUAAUGAAA